CAAGUUUGACGACGAUGAUGAUUGGAACCAAGAGGAGGAAGUACGUAAGUUUCCAUCUAUUCAUAUGGAUGUUAUCCUCGAUGUACUGUGACCAAAUAUGUAAUGCCUGGUUUGGUUUAAUUAUUUUCUUGUGUAUCACUAGAUAAUCAGUUAACAAGUGUUGGCCAUGGUGCAUUGAUCUUAUUUAGUUGUGGUUUUGUAUGCCUCCCCCAGCUGCCGCUAAAACCCACCAAAGAAUUAGCAAGAAAAUUGAUGGUGGGAGCUAGCAAUGCCGGCAGUGCCUCCUUUAGGAUUACAAAAUCGUUAAUCCUAUCUUCGCUUGCAUGUGACUGAUGGUGAUGCUACACAAGUUCUGAAGGCAGUGCCCUCCCCUUCAGCAGGAGAUCUUGCUGGUUCUGCAUGGCACAACUGGAUUAAAUAUGCUACAGCAAGCGAAGGAGUUCAACGAUGUUGUUGGAAUCAAAGGAUUCAUCCUAACGAAAUUAGACAGGACUGCUCGUGUUGGCUGUGUGGUGAGUGUUAAUAGACGAACUUGGAGUUCCAGCCAAGUUUGUUGGCGUCGGCAAAGGGGUGAAGAUCUCCAACCUUUUGAUGCAGAAGCAUUUGUUGAAGCCAUUUUCCCAUAAAUUUGACCCAGUUAUUAGCGUUUCUCAUGUAACAAGAUUUUGGCUAACAUGCUACUCCCUCCGUUUCUAAAUAUAUGUCUUUUUAGGAAUUCUAAUAUGGACUACAUAAGAAGAAAAAUGAGUGAAUCUACACUCUAGAAUAUGUCUACAUUCAUCCGCAUGUAGUCCAUAUUCAAAUCACUAAAAAAACCUAUAUUUAGGAAUGGAGGGAGUAGAACUUGGUAGAAGCAAUUAUUUCAACAAUUACAGUUUUUUUUGGUUCAGUCGUCGACUCAUCUGCCUGACUUGUUUCUGUUGUUGAUCCUAACUAUUCAUACAGAAACAGAAGCAAGUAUUUGUGAUAUUAUAUGUUUAUUGUGAUUAAGCUCAAGGCACGUUGCAGAUACAUUGAGCAAGAGUACUAACAGAGAAGAGGAAUUUUUCUUUUCAGACUAGCAUGAUACAAGAAUAUUUCAUUAAUAGUCAUACAUUCAUAACAUAUAUCUUGAAUCAUAAAUACUUCCACGUUCGAUUUUGAGUCCUAAGAAAAAAGAUCCUCAUGUGAAACUUCUUAAGAUGAAAGUACUUCCAUGUUGGAUCUUUUUUCUUAAUUAGGUGAUAUCAUUUGAUACCAUGCUUGAUUUGUACUACUACUUAAAAAUUAGCUUUCUUGCAGUCGUGGUUGAUUUGCAGGUGCAGUCAACUGAGACAUGGACUCUCGAUUGAACAAUAAUUUUGUGCAACUAUGUCAACAUCUAGACCAUACAUUUUUAACAGGUCAUGAAGAGCAUCACGUGUGCUAUUUUCUGGCAUAAAGCCUGAUCUUAAUGCUCAUAAAACAAAAAAGAAAGACUGUACAUAUAGAAAAUGGAUAUAUACAAACAUGAAAAAAAUAU